rnacentral:snRNA from 1 species
AAGUGCUGCGACACCUGUCACCCCAUUGAUUGCAUGGCUGAAUUUGGCUGUUCUGACUGGCUAGGCAAGUAUGCUCUUCCUCCCUCCGUGUGCGUCCCUUUCAAAGCUGUGCAUGCUUGGUCAAAUAGGACGACCUUUCUCAAAUUGAGGAGGACAGGUCUUCUGUCAAGGGUAAAUGAGUAGCUGUGCCUGCUAGGACCUCUAAAUAAGCUCUCAAUUUGCCUCUUGAGCUCUAGAAAAUCGUGAUCCACCAUCUCUUCAGAGACUACCUGACAUCA